rnacentral:lncRNA from 1 species
CUGACGUCGGGGGCGAGCCGGGCCUGCGCGGUAGUGGGACCCGACCCUGUCUCCAGUGGGCGUCUUGGGCCCCGGCUCUAUUCUGGGCUGCGGGCCUGGGAAGGGCUCGCCGGGUGCCAAAUGAGCUGUCCUAACUCUGCGGGGCUGCAGCUUCCUGCAUGAUGCUGGGGAGCUUGGCGCCUGACCCAGGAUCUAGAAGGCACUCUGGGCAGGCCGCGCUCCGCCCACGAAGGUACCCAACCCUCUGGGAUAGAUGCAGGAAGCGAUGGUUAAGACCCAUUUUCACCCAACUUCUCGCCGCAGGUCUGGCUUACCACACGCUCCUCCCCAUUCCCAGUGAGCCGCUUUUUGCAGCACCAGGCGAACACUUACACCAGUGCUUUGUAAAGGAAUCUUAUUGUCCACCCCGUGUCUUGGCAAAAGAACAGUGAUCACACAGAUUCCUACUUGGGCUCUUUCCUUUAAUCUUCGGAGGCUGAGUUUGCCCAACUCAGGUUUAACCACCAAGGACUCUGAGAGCUGGCAGGUCUGAGUAACCCUGGUAACAAUUCUCUUCACCUUAUCAAAACCUGAGCUAAAACCAAUGCAUCAGCUGAUGAUGACAGCAGAGAGUGGCAGGGCUGAGGACCCAAAGUCAUUUCCCAGGCUGGCGGAGAGUGAGUAAAUGAGAUUCUAAAACUAAACAAGGGAGGUCAGAGACUCUUUCCAACCUUACCUGAUGGCUUCUGGCCAAAGCAAGGAAGUGUCUUGGAAGGUGUUGGUUGGUGAUGGUGCGAAAAGACACUUGAGAAGGAGGGAAGAAAAAGCAGCGCCCCUUGAUAAAGGUGGGGGAGAGAAGAUAUGGGGAAAGCCCUGAAUUCCUCAUCAAAGGCCAAUCUCAGAGAGUAGCAGGGGGUUACAAUCUAUGCUUUGGCCAAGGGCGGGAGUGGAGGAGUGGGGGUUAGGAUGAUGGCUUGGAGCGGGCAUCAUUUAAGACUUAAAGAAACCAUGGGUGCAGGCAAAGCACCCCACACACUAAGCAGUAGUCCCACAGGCUGCGACCUGAAACCUUCACAUCUACUCUUAACAAGCCCCCAUGGCUAGAGGGCUGUUGCAAGGGGAGAAGGCAGAGACCCCAGACCAUGUAAUCAACAGCAAGGUGAUUGUGUGAUGUGUCUUUUCCCAUAUUUAGGAGGGUGAGUUUUAUGAAUGACUUUAAAUAUUA